rnacentral:misc_RNA from 1 species
AAGUCGUAACAAGGUAACCGUAGGUGAACCUGCGGUUGGAUCAUUACAAAAUGAUUUUCUCUGCUGUUGAGGUCUCUCUGUUAUUAGAGAGAACUCCAGUGGAGGACUAACCCUUUGUGCACUAAUUAUUAUUUUGGGUGAAGUUCUUGGCGUGAAAACGCGAAGAGUCACCCAGCAGUAUAACAAACCCUUUUAAUUUGACUGACUAUAUUUUAUAAAUAUAAACAACUUUUGACAACGGAUCUCUUGGCUCUC